UGGGAUGUAGCUCUGCUGGUAGAGCGCUGUGCUUGCCUCGCAUGCAUGAGGCUCUGGGUUCAAUUCCCAGCACUACAA
rnacentral:tRNA from 1 species